GUACUGGCUGGCAGGGGAGAUUCCAUGAUUACAGAGGUAGUUUUCCCAGCGCAGGGCUUAUCCAUUGCACUUAGGAUGUGCUGACCCUUGUAAUUUCCCCAAAUGUGGGAAACCUGACCGCAUAAUUUGUGGUAGUAGGAGACUGCGAAAAAAAAAUUUUUUUCUCUCA